rnacentral:rRNA from 1 species
CAGCCGCCGCGGUAAAACGUAGGUGGCAAGCGUUGUCCGGAAUUAUUGGGCGUAAAGGGCUCGCAGGCGGUUUCUUAAGUCUGAUGUGAAAGCCCCCGGCUCAACCGGGGAGGGUCAUUGGAAACUGGGAAACUUGAGUGCAGAAGAGGAGAGUGGAAUUCCACGUGUAGCGGUGAAAUGCGUAGAGAUGUGGAGGAACACCAGUGGCGAAGGCGACUCUCUGGUCUGUAACUGACGCUGAGGAGCGAAAGCGUGGGGAGCGAACAGGAUUAGAUACCCGUGUAGUCCCUGUCUCUUAUAU